UCCGAAGGGGGCUAUCGUUGUUCGGAAUCACUGGGCGUAAAGCGUACGUAGGCGGAUGAAUAAGUCAGGGGUGAAAGCCUGGAGCUCAACUCCUGAACUGCCUUUGAUACUGUUUGUCUUGAGUCCGGGAGAGGUGAGUGGAACUGCUAGUGUAGAGGUGAAAUUCGUAGAUAUUAGCAAGAACACCAGUGGCGAAGGCGGCUCACUGGCCCGGUACUGACGCUGAGGUACGAAAGCGUGGGGAGAAAACAGG
rnacentral:rRNA from 1 species